UGGCCAGACAAGUCCGUUGGGAAAUCCACGCGCUCAACGCGUGGGCGUCCAGCGGAAACUGUCUGGCUUGGGGCCGGAGGACUCGAGGGGUACGUCCGGGGUAGGAGUGAAAUCCCGUAAUCCUGGACGGACCACCGGUGGCGAAAGCGCCUCGAGAGGACGGACCCGACAGUGAGGGACGAAAGCCAGGGUCUCGAACCGGAUUAGAUACCCGGGUAGUCCUGGCCGUAAACGAUGUCUGCUAGGUGUGGCGCAGGCUACGAGCCUGCGCUGUGCCGCAGGGAAGCCGUGAAGCAGACCGCCUGGGAA
rnacentral:rRNA from 1 species